rnacentral:rRNA from 1 species
CAAGUCGAGCGAGGGCUUACUUCUCGCAAGAGAGGUGAGUUCCUAGCGGCGAACGGGUGAGUAACACGUGGGCAACCUUUCCUAUCGCGGGGGAUAACACCGGGAAACCAAUGCUAAUACCGCAUGUCGUCACUGAUCGCAUGGUUGGUGAAGAAAGCAGCAAUGCACGAUGGGGUGGGCCCGCGGCCUAUCAGCUAGUCGGUGGGCUAACGGCCUACCGAGGCGAUGACGGGUAGCUGGUCUGAGAGGACGGCCAGCCACACGGGGACUGAGACACGGCCCCGACUCCUACGGGAGGCAGCAGUGAGGAAUCUUCCGCAAUGGGCGAAAGCCUGACGGAGCGACGCCGCGUGUGGGAUGAAGUCUUUCGGGAUGUAAACCACUGUCGGAGGGGAAGACAAAAAAGACGGUACCCUCCAAGAAAGCCCCGGCUAACUACGUGCCAGCAGCCGCGGUAAUACGUAGGGGGUAAGCGUUAUCCAGAUUUACUGGGCGUAAAGCGCGUGUAGGCGGCUGGUUAGGCGUGAUGUGAAAUCUUCCGGCUCAACCGGAAAACUGCAUUGCGAACCGGCCUGGCUAGAGUGCAGGAGAGGGAAGCGGAAUUCCAGGUGUAGCGGUGAAAUGCGUAGAUAUCUGGAGGAACACCAGUGGCGAAGGCGGCUUCCUGGCCUGCAACUGACGCUGAGACGCGAAAGCGUGGGGAGCGAACCGGAUUAGAUACCCGGGUAGUCCACGCCCUAAACGUUGUGAACUAGGUGUUGGUCGGAUUGACCCGAUCAGUGCCGCAGCUAACGCAUUAAGUUCACCGCCUGGGGACUACGGCCGCAAGGUUAAAACUCAAAGGAAUAGGCGGGGGCCCGCACAAGCAGCGG